rnacentral:lncRNA from 1 species
GUCCAAUAAUACAGAUUUUACUAGGUUUAACAAUUUUUCACAGUCAUCUGGUUAUUUUUCCCCUGACAUAUUAAAUCUAAUCCUUCUGAAACACUAAUUAACUUUCUGACGCACUUAUCUUUCAUACCGACGCUUCUUGGUCAAAGAUUGGUAUCUUGGGACAAUUAAAUUCUCAUUUUCCUCCAAAAUCCUGAAGGUAGACUGAUAUAAAUAGAUAGAUACUUGUGAAUUGAUUAAGACUUAAAGUUAUUUAUAAUUUGUAACCCAAAC